AUGGGUGACUCUUUCUCUACAGGGAAGAUGAUGGAUUUCAAAUUGCAAAAGGUUGCCGCGGAAGGUGCUACACUUGUUAGUACGGAAGAUCAGUUGGCAAUUAACAUAUGCCCAGAGCUAGAGCCAUCUUCUGAAAGCUUCAAUGAGUAUAUUUGUCAUUUUAACUCGCAUUGGAAUCCAAGUAGAGAAGCGUCUGUGGCACCUAGUGCACCUGAUCCUCCAUUAACAUCCUCUGAUUUUCUCAGUAGAUGCUAUCGAGUCACCCCCGAUGGGGACGGGGUGCUCCAUAUUGCUGUAAGGUUUGGAAAUGUGGAACUAGUGGAUGACAUCCGGAACAACCAUGAAGACCUCGCAAGUGUGCUCUUAUCCGCAGUGAACAACAGAGGAGAUACACCACUGCAUUAUGCGGCAUUCAGAGGGUAUGAUGCUAUGGUCAAAAUUUUGCUCAGUAUGAUGAGCGACACGGGUAUUGCCAAGUUUCUAAGGGCCCAAAAUCUCAAAGGAGACACAUGCUUACACGAGGCAGUGCGCUACUCAAAUCUAGAUAUUGUGGAGAUGCUUAUUUCAAAGGACUUGAGCAGACCCACGCUGGUGCAGAUAGUGAACAAUGAGGGUAUAUCUCCACUUUACUUGGCUACCACUUUACGUAGGGUUGAUAUCGUUCGGGCCCUCACACAAAGGCCAUACGAGCAAGAUGAUAAGUAUGUGGCGUCCUCCUCAGGUCCUGCAGGGAAAACAGCAUUGCAUGCUGCCGUGGUUCUCCUAGACAAAGGAAGGUGUUGCUUCCGGCGGCAGCGGUGUCUAGCGAGCUGGUUAAGAUUAUGCUGGAGUGGAAUGUGUUGGCACAAGCCCGACCUUGAUGACGCAACCGUCGAGUACUUUCCGACGGUGCGCUCGUACAAGCUAGCGGCGGCCGAUUUCUUCCGGCCGAUCGAGCGUAUACGGCAACACGUACGUACACUUGAAGCAACUAGGCAGGCAGCUGGAUGGAUCCUCGUGUCUAGCUAG
rnacentral:rRNA from 1 species